UACGAAGGGGGGCUAGCGUUGCUCGGAAUCACUGGGCGUAAAGGGUGCGUAGGCGGGUCUUUAAGUCAGGGGUGAAAUCCUGGAGCUCAACUCCAGAACUGCCUUUGAUACUGAGGAUCUUGAGUCCGGGAGAGGUGAGUGGAACUGCGAGUGUAGAGGUGAAAUUCGUAGAUAUUCGCAAGAACACCAGUGGCGAAGGCGGCUCACUGGCCCGGUACUGACGCUGAGGCACGAAAGCGUGGGGAGCAAACAGG
rnacentral:rRNA from 1 species